GCAGAGGGGCAGCUCUGCUGGAGAGACCUGAGGCUUGCAUCGCUGGGCCCGGCCGGGUCGCUGCGGCUGGGCUGGAGCCAAGGUUAACUAUUUGUAACAUGUCAUCUUUCAAGGAAGCAUCUAACCAAGAUUAAGUCAAAGGCAUCUACCAGGUCCUGAAUUCUCUCCCAGAUGCACACCUUUUAAGGUCAAGGAUGCAUUCCAGGAAAGUUCUAUAAAAAUAUACCAUCAACUCCAACCUGAUAUUUGACCUAGCCAUGGAAAACCUCAUUGGCUCCUCACUGGAUCAGACCAUAAAAAUGAUCCAGGAAUGAAAAUCUAAGAUAAAUUCCCACCACUUCAAGAUGUUCUUAUACAAGUCAACAGUCUAGCAGAUCAGCCAGUCUCUUUCAUCAUCAAGCAGACAUACUCAAGAAAGAGGAAUAGUGAAGUGAAAUACACAGAAGCAUGUUCAAGUUCAUCUGUUGAAUCUGGAAUUGUGAAUAGUGACAAUAUUGAGAAAAAUACUGACUCCAAUCUGCAAACUUCAACUUCAUUUGAGCCACAUUUCAAAAAGAAA
rnacentral:sRNA from 1 species